GUCCCUGUAGCGCAAUGGAUAGCGCGUUGGACUUCUAAUCCAAAAAUCGUGGGUUCGAAUCCCCUCUGAGAUG
rnacentral:tRNA from 1 species